GAAAGGAUGUCAGCAUCAUCACCGGUCUAACCAGUUCUUUUAAGGCAGGUUGACAUUUCCUACAUACUGAGAUACUUUCGUCAACGACUGCACGUACUGUUCGCAGCAUUGACAGACGUGACUGCAGAAAAAACAGACACCACAGCAGAAAUCAUGAAUCUAAACAACCAGGCCGUCUGUUGUGUAGCGGUCCUCGUGGGGUUUAUGUUGAGUGGAUUCCUCAUCAGCAUGGGCAUGGUAUAAAAGCACGACAGAUCGUCAUUGACAACUAUGGUCAAUUGACAGCUGAGCACAAAGGAUGCCAGGAGACCAGAACACCUACACAGUCAGCAACAUCAUCCCUACAACGAAGACAUAUAGGAGCCUUCUUUUAUGACAGUAGCGUGUUCGAUUCCAAAUCAUGAUUUGGAAUAAAACGAAGUGGAAUGUACCUGCAUUCCUAAACGUGGUCUAUUCCAAAACAUGAUUUGGAUUAACACAUAGUGGAAUGCCUGUUGCAUUCUAAAACGUGAUCCAUAAUAAUACACUCGACCGAUACCUUGCAUUGAAUGAGAGCUUACGACCGCCUUUCAGCUUCAUGCAGUAGUCAGACUGUGACGUAAUGAUGACGCAAACUCUACCAUGGGAUUUUGUCAUAAUAUCGUGAAUGGUCGGCUACACUCGACUUACACUUUGCAUUGAAUGAUAUCCGCUCUUCUGUGCUCCGAUUUCAUACAGACCUCACGUCACUGUGACAUGAUGUAUGUUAUCCUGGCAUUGUGUCUGAUGUACACUAGUUUAGUCUUUGUGAAGUUUGGAGCCUGAGUCGUGUUCACAUCGUGUAAGCUACAUGAUUCGAGGCAAAGUUUCCUGGUCUGCUGUUUCCUUUGGUGCAAAUAAAGCAAACUAACCCGCAUGAAAACAGACUUGA